CGGCCCCACAGCCUCUCCCUCACCGCAGCACAAGGCGGCCGCCGCUCCGCCUCCUGCUUGCCACCGUCCCUUCAGCGCCCGUGGGAUCGCUCCGCUGUUCUAGGGCCGACCGAGCCGCCUGCGAGCAAUGCGAGGGGCUGGAGAGGGCCAGGCGUAGUUCUGCGCCCUCUCGCUGUGCCUGAAACUCGGCAGCGACCGCCCUUCCCAGCGAGGGAGGGAGGGAGGAGUGUUGCGGCCUCGGGGCUGUUUGGAAACAGGAGGAGAGAGGCUGCGGCGCCUGAGGGAGCCGUGGGACCGAAGGGGUGACGGUCCGAGAAGAGCGGAGAACCGGAUCAGAACGACCUUGGAGGAGGUCUCCGAGUGAAAAAGUGGGAAAGAAAGGUGGUUUGGGGAAGAGCUUUCAUCAUAUGCAAUCACCUUUCAUCUUGUUCCUCCUUGGCAGGAGGGCAGGGAAGCUGUGUGGUGCUGAGGCGCGGCCCAGCUCGUGACAGGCUGGAAAAGCCGUGGGUGCCAUGAGAAAGUAUCUCUAAAGACUAAAGCAAUACCAGUCAUGUUUGAAGAUAUUCGACUCAUGGAGAUGAUUAAUGAAGUAAGAAAUGACACAUGAUAGAUUGCUUGUAUGUUUUUACAGAGCAAAAUAUUUGAUGACUGGAUGUUCAAUAAUUGACCAACAGUCAUUCAACUGAAACAAAUAAAAAAUGUUUUCUAAUA